GUGCUCGCUUCAGCAGCACAUACACUAAAAUUGGAACCUUACAGAGAUGAUUAGCAUGGCCCCUGCACAAGGAUGACCACAAAUUCAUGAAGUGCUCCAUACUUUU
ensembl:snRNA U6 U6 spliceosomal RNA